UACGGGGGGGGCAAGCGUUGUUCGGAAUUACUGGGCGUAAAGGGCUCGUAGGCGGCCAACUAAGUCAGACGUGAAAUCCCCCGGCUUAACCAGGGAACUGCGUCUGAUACUGGAUGGCUUGAGUUUGGGAGAGGGAUGCGGAAUUCCAGGUGUAGCGGUGAAAUGCGCAGAUAUCAGGAGGAACACCGGUGGCGAAGGCGGGUCUCUGGACAGUUCCUGACACUGAGGAGCGAAAGCGUGGGGAGCGAACAGG
rnacentral:rRNA from 1 species